rnacentral:tRNA from 1 species
CCCCUCGUAGCUCAGUGGAUAGAGCACCGCCCUGCGGAGGCGGAGGCCCCGGUUCGAAUCCGGGCGAGGGGU